UUACAUGCAACGGCUUCCUGACGCGUGAGUGAUAAUCAUUGGAGCA
rnacentral:ncRNA from 1 species